GAUGAACGCUAGCGGCAGGCCUAAUACAUGCAAGUCGAACGAUAGUCUUGUCUUCGGAUGAGAUGAGAGUGGCGCACGGGUGAGUAACGCGUACACGACCUACCUUACAGAGGGGGAUAGCCUUGGGAAACUGGGAGUAAUCCGCCAUAGUGUAUAUGAUCUGCAUGGAUGGUAUACUAAAGCUUCGGCGCUGUAAGAUGGGUGUGCGUCUGAUUAGGUAGUUGGUAGGGUAACGGCCUACCAAGCCAACGAUCAGUAGGGGGCGUGAGAGCGUGGUCCCCCACACGGGUACUGAGACACGGACCCGACUCCUACGGGAGGCAGCAGUAAGGAAUAUUGGUCAAUGGAGGGAACUCUGAACCAGCCAUCCCGCGUGAAGGAUGAAGGGGCUCUGCCUUGUAAACUUCUUUUGCAUGGGACGAAAAACUUAAUUUAUUAAGGACUGACGGUACCAUGAGAAUAAGCACCGGCUAACUCCGUGCCAGCAGCCGCGGU
rnacentral:rRNA from 1 species